rnacentral:rRNA from 1 species
CAGUCGCCGCGGUAAUACGAAGGGGGCUAGCGUUGCUCGGAAUCACUGGGCGUAAAGGGUGCGUAGGCGGGUCUUUAAGUCAGGGGUGAAAUCCUGGAGCUCAACUCCAGAACUGCCUUUGAUACUGAAGAUCUUGAGUUCGGGAGAGGUGAGUGGAACUGCGAGUGUAGAGGUGAAAUUCGUAGAUAUUCGCAAGAACGCCAGUGGCGAAGGCGGCUCACUGGCCCGAUACUGACGCUGAGGCACGAAAGCGUGGGGAGCAAACAGGAUUAGAUACCCGCGUAGUCCCUGUCUCUUAUCC